AAUACUGCAACAAUGCAUGAAAAACUAUAUCAUGAAAGUAAAAGUGUGGUUCCAAUCAUGCAAGGUAUAUGAGGUGCAUGUGUUGCUGGUGUAGCAAAGCUUUCUCUUUUUCUUUGUUCUUCCUCAUCUUCUUCUUCUUGGUUUG
rnacentral:ribozyme from 1 species